UGGACCGCUGCUGGAAGUACUGCAGUUAGGUGAGCUGGAGUAAGUUAUUACCCUUGUCUUGAGCGCACUUGUUGUUUCCUGGGCGGGUUCGCUCGCCACCAGGACCACAAUAUAAACCUUUUUUAUGCAGUUGCAAUCAGCGUCAGUAUAACAAAUGUAAAUCAUUUACAACUUUCAACAACGGAUCUCUUGGUUCUGGCAUCGAUGAAGAACGCAGCGAAAUGCGAUACGUAGUGUGAAUUGCAGAAUUCAGUGAAUCAUCGAAUCUUUGAACGCACAUUGCGCCCUUUGGUAUUCCAAAGGGCAUGCCUGUUCGAGCGUCAUUUGUACCCUCAAGCUUUGCUUGGUGUUGGGCGUUUUUGUCUUUGGCCCGCCAAAGACUCGCCUUAAAAUGAUUGGCAGCCGGCCUACUGGUUUCGCAGCGCAGCACAUUUUUGCGCUUGCAAUCAGCAAAAGAGGACGGCAAUCCAUCAAGACUCCUUCUCACGUUUGACCUCGGAUCAGGUAGGGAUACCCGCUGAACUUAAGCAUAUCAAUAAGCGGAGGAAAC
rnacentral:rRNA from 1 species